UACAGAGGGUGCUAGCGUUAUUCGGAAUCACUGGGCUUAAAGGGCGCGUAGGCGGGUCACCAAGUCCGGGGUGAAAUCCCACGGCCCAACCGUGGAAGUGCCUUGGAUACUGGUGACCUCGAGGGGGGUAGGGGCGUGCGGAACUCAGGGUGGAGCGGUGAAAUGCGUAGAUAUCCUGAGGAACACCGGUGGCGAAAGCGGCGCGCUGGACCCCUUCUGACGCUGAGGCGCGAAAGCCAGGGGAGCAAACGGG
rnacentral:rRNA from 1 species